UUAACACCUUAUGUACACAUGUGUAUUCUCACACUCUGCCACAUCCUUAGCACAUAGUUUUCUACUUAAAGUUAAAAAGAAGAAAGAAAAAAAACUUUAGACUUUUUCCCCUUUAUCUUGUUUUUAUUGGAUGUGUCACUCUCUGUAUAUCCUCUUCCAGAUGCAGAGAAAAUCUCUCAUAUUGACUGACAUUUGGAGUGUCGACUGUGAUCCAGCUUCUGAAGCUCUGGGCAACAGGGUAUACCUGUAAGAGAGCAAAUGAAAGGAACUGAUUUUUGUCAGAUGGCCAACUUGUCAGCAGGCAAAGACCAGAUCCAUCGAGAGAUAGUUUUGCUUUUCACCGAGAAGCACUGAUGACCAAGUGAAAAGACAGGCAGAGGAGGAUAACUAGUGACAGCAUCGUCCUCUCUAAUAGCACAGUGGCCUUUAGACCCGAGACCAUUGAUACCUCCAAACAGCACGCUGGUCAGCAUCAAGUUCAUCCGAUGCCCCUUACCCUUCAUUGGCUCUCCAUUGUCUGGGAUGGAGCUGGGAUAAGUGGCACAUCGGUAAAGAAUGCUGAUUGGCCGGUGAACAAACCCCAGGGGAUUUCAUUAAUGUGGCGGCAGAUGCAGCAUCAUUAGAGCUCUAUCCUCAGUCAUCGCGGCCUGCGUAUGAAAAAGAGGACGUGAGAGAGGGGAGGGGAGUUAGGUAGGAAGGGAAAUAUGUCUUAUUCUGUGUGAUCUCUGAGGCGUCUUGCUGCAAAUGAGGUCCUCUUGUGGGUCUACCUGUCUAUGUCUCAGUCUGAUUUCACCUUCAUUGAUUUUGUAAACAUUUGCAGCUCUUCAAGCCCUUCACAGCCAUUGACUUCUUUUGAAGAGCAAAGGUAAUCAUGAAAUGAUCUGAUGCAGGAUUUGUCACAACGCUGGGGCUCACUGCGAAUGAGAUUUGGUGGUAUCCUGCAAAAUGUCUCUUUUUUUUUCCCUCUCUCUCUCGAUCUCCGAAGAUGAAGUGUCUCUUUUCCUGUCCACCUUGUCCUGGUGUCAGUAUUAUCCAUUAGACUGAUAGAUGGUGGUAGAAAGAUGUCUCUUUACCGGCAGACACGGGGACACAUCUAGUCUGUCAGAGAUGAAUAGACCACAGACUCAGAGUGGAAGGCUGGUUUUUAUGCCAAAACUGGUCACCCUCACAGAAACAGUCCUGUGCGAUUCCACAAGAGAGCUCAAAUCAUUGUCUUU